rnacentral:rRNA from 1 species
UACGUAGGGUGCAGGCGUUAAUCGGAAUUACUGGGCGUAAAGCGUGCGCAGGCGGUUUGCUAAGACAGGUGUGAAAUCCCCGGGCUUAACCUGGGAACUGCGCUUGUAACUGGCAAGCUAGAGUGUGGCAGAGGGGGGUGGAAUUCCAGGUGUAGCAGUGGAAUGCGUAGAGAUCUGGAGGAACACCGAUGGCGAAGGCAGCCCCCUGGGCUAACACUGACGCUCAUGCACGAAAGCGUGGGGAGCAAACAGG